AUUCCAGCUCCAAUAGCGUAUAUUAAAAUUGCUGCAGUUAAAAAGCUCGUAGUUGGAUCUUGGGCGCAGGCUGGCGGCCCGCCGCAAGGCGCGCCACUGCCCGCCUGGCCUUCCUCUCGGUCUCCGCCCGGUUCUCUUGACUGAGUGCCGGGCGCGGCCGAAACGUUUACUUUGAAAAAAUUGGAGUGUUCAAAGCAGGCCGUGAGCCUGGACAGCAGAGCAUGGAAUAAUGGAAUAGGACCUCGGUUCUAUUGCGUUGGUUUUCGGAACUCGAGGUAAUGAUUAAGAGGGACUGACGGGGGCAUUCGUAUUGCGGUGUGAGAGGUGAAAUUCUUGGAUCGCCGCAAGACGACCGACUGCGAAAGCAUUUGCCAAGAAUGUUUUCAUCG
rnacentral:rRNA from 1 species